AUGGGGCAAUGAGCCUGUUUCCUGAAGUCCCAGUGGCCACACAGCUGAACCUUGCAAACUUCUUAUCAAACUCUCAGCCCAAGAACAAUUAGCCAGGAUCAACACCCCAGCAAAGGUCAUUUGGGUUUGGAUUACAAAUUGCCAUCACCUCAGAGAAGAGGAGAGGGGAUCUGUUUGAGAAGAAUGUUUCUCUGCAGCUAAGGAUUAGCAGGCAUCCACAAGCCCGCCCUGCAGAGAUCUUCGAAAGGUGGACAUGGACUCCAUGGAAGCCUGAGCUGCCAGGGGCUUCCCUGGGGCAGCACUGCUUCGCGUAGGCUCACGAGAAACUUCCAGGGUUCCUGGGUAAGGAAGACACAGCAAGAGCUGGCCUCUGCCGCAUCUGCCUUUGUCACCAGACGCCCAUCUUUAGGGCACCUCUCUCUCCGCUGCUUGAGUUUUAGGGUCUUGCCAUAAAACUUCAUUAAGGCCUCCCAGGCGAGGCUCAAAGCACCCUGCCCCGCGUAGGAAAAGGUUCAGAGCACAUAGAGAAAAGAGCAAGGUUGCACCCCAAAAGAAUGACAGGCAGGGAGACAAAUGCUGGCUCAGCCAGCCUGACUCCAUUCCCUGGGGGGCCGAGAGGGAUGUACGAUGGGUCUUGUGAGGGUGGAGGGUGCCUGCCUCGCCCGAGGGAUGCUGUGCCCAUGCCCCUGCUGCCAGUUCACCCAAAGCAGUUGACGUUUUUAAACGAGCACAAAGUCUCUGCUCUUCAGAGUGUGACGGGCUGCCCCUGUCUGCAAAAGCUGUCCCCGAAUAGGCUUUCUCUGAGCUUGUUACCGUGGAGGGCUGGGCCCGGUUUCUAAUCGCCCCCUUCACCGGGCUGCCUGCCGCUGGCUGCGGAAAGUGUGGGUUUGGCUGCAUGAUGGCCUCGUAAUGGCUGUGGUGACGCCCUCUGCGUCUUCUCCCAGCGCCAGCCUUUCAACAGAGCAGCACAUUAUGCCUGGAUAAGACUCAAAGAGCAGCUUAAUAUCAGGUUCUCUGGGGCUGUAAUCAUCGGUUCAGGAUGGAGCAGACACAGCCGCAGCAAGGCCUCUGUGCAGCCCCCGGUUUAAAACACAUCAACGCAUCCGUGGGCACUUUUGUGAGUUAAAGCUCAACUUACACAUCUGCCUGUAUCCAUAGGAAAUGAAUGAAAAUAAACAAACAAAUUCCUUGCA
ensembl:lncRNA LINC00354 long intergenic non-protein coding RNA 354